rnacentral:lncRNA from 1 species
CCUAUCUUUCUUGAAUUUCAAGCAGUGGUAUCAGCUUUUAAGCUCAAUCUGCUGAGAGGCGAGAAAAUAGCGAAACAUUGUACUAGAAAAGUAGAUAUAUGAAUAUAUGACGACAAUCAAAAGGAAAUCAACAAGGGGGAAAUAGAGCGAGAAGAACAACAACUUACCCUUUCAAAUUCUAGGUAUAUGCAGGUAUUUGAGUGGCAUGAGUUCAGCUGGUGAUUAAAUGCCAGAAUCGAUACUCACAAGGGACCUAAAGAAGGAGAUUUAACAACAGCUCUUUGAUUUGUGGACAAUAAAAACUUCAUAAUCAUCUGGAACUCACCAGAUCUGCCAUUGUAGAGUGAAGAAGUCUUCAUUAAGAUUGUUUUCAUGGCAUUCGUGAGACUUGGAAUGUCUUAGGUGAAAACACCUUAAGCUCAGCAAUUUUCAGGUUAUGGACUCGAGAUGGACUGUGAUUUUGAAGCUCUUGAUGUCUGCUCAGCUCAUCGACGUUGCCCGUUAUCGUUGAGAGGAUGGAGAUGAGUUUUUGAUUCUUUCCCCUUAGUUUUCUUUACUGUCCGGAC